UACGGGAGGCAGCAGUGGGGAAUAUUGCACAAUGGGCGAAAGCCUGAUGCAGCUAUGCCGCGUGUAUGAAGAAGGCCUUAGGGUUGUAAAGUACUUUCAUCGGGGAGGAAAAAACAAAACUAAUAAUUUUAUUUCUUGACGUUACCCGAAAAAGAAGCACCGGCUAACUCCGUGCCAGCAGCCGCGGUAAUACGGAGGGUGCUAGCGUUAAUCAGAAUUACUGGGCGUAAAGAGCACGUAGGUGGUUUUUUUAAAGUCAGAUGUGAAUCCCUGGGCUUAACCUGGAACUGCAUUUUGAAACUGAAAUACUGAGUAUCGUAGAGGGAGGUAGAAUUCUAGGUGUAGCGGUGAAAUGCGUAGAUAUCUGGAGGAAUACCUGUGGCGAAAGCGGCCUCCUAAACGAAUACUGACACUGAGGUGCGAAAGCGUGGGGAGCAAACAGGGAUUAGAUACC
rnacentral:rRNA from 1 species